CAGUACUGGCUCGGAGUGAGGCAAAAAGGCAGCAGUACCAGGCAGCAACGUGCACCAAACCACAUGCAAGAGGUAAAUCUGCUCCACUCCUUCAAAGCCUGUCCUGCAAGUUGUUUCUAGGUGGAUGUACAGAAGGAUGUCCGUGCCUCAUAAAGCUGCAGUCCCUACUGCCCAGGGAAGCAUGGAUGAAGCCAGUAGUGAAAAUCCAUUGUAACGUAGGUUCUGAUCAGCUCCACAUGCCUACCAGUCUAACGCUGUGCUUUGAGAAUGACAUCCAGAGGCCACAGCACAGGGAAAGGCCAAGUCAUGGACUUUUGCAUUACCUGCUGCCUAUGCUGUAAGACCACAUCCAUCGCUGUAGUAAAAACUAAAAAUGUGGCAGUUAUCAGUGGAAAAAGUGUGCUAUGGUAUUAACUAAACAGUAAUGGCUGUUUGUUCUGUGCUGUGGUGGAUGUGUUGGUGGGUCAGCUGAAGGACACCCAAGCUUUGAGAACGAACUCUCUGACACUACAUGGUUCAAAAUGACCACUGAUGAAAAACUGCAGAGCCAAGCAGAUAAACCAGGCGUGGGUCCUGGGAAAGAGGGAAUCAUCCCAGCUCCCUGUGAACUCAGUGAAGCGGAAUGAAGAAGCAUCUGAGUGUCGUUAUUUGAGUCUCGUUAUUUGCUGAUACCUCCGUGUUUUUGCCCAGUGAGAAUCCUUCUGUGCCGAGUCACUGUGUUUGGGGUUGGUUUGUUUGAAACAAACACAGUUCCUCCAUGGUAGCUGAAUGCAAUAGCAGCCAGUGAGAAUUCAGGGGGCUGGUUCAAAAGAUUUCAGCUUUGGAAAGCCACGCAGUUAAUGCUUGCUCCAGAAAAGGGGCACAUAAAAUCAUUUUUUUCUGAAACUGAUGUUUAAUAGGGGCCAUGUGAUUGGUGGAGGUUGUUUUGAGGGCGUAUUAGAAACUAUAUAUGUUUAAAAAAAUAUCGUGUGGGGAAACUGCCAGGCCUGGGAAGUGCAGUGCAAGCUGUCCUGGCGAGGCUCAGCGUUGACUCUGUGCUUUAGACAUCAGCUUUUAGCAUUCUCUGCCUUCCUUUCUGUUUAUGAAAUUCAUUUUUUAGUGCACCAAACCUCUACAAUAGUCAUUACAGGUGAGAACUUGCUAUCAACAGAAAUAAUGCUUAAUUUUAUGGGAGAUGCAUAGAGGGAAUUAUUUCGCUAGGGGCUAAAUAAAUACAUUUUCCAUAGCACCUCUCAAUUCCCAGAGCAUUAGGAAACCACAUUUCUGUCAGUAAGCAAAUCCACAGCUGAUGUCUGGGCUAUCAGUGUGCUCAUAUUUCUUGCAGACUGAAAAUGUGAUCAUCAUUCUUGCUUCUUCCCUCCCAGUAAUGCAAGGAGGAGGAUCCCUUCCUGUCUGGGUUGUGAAAACUGCUUAACUUAGAGUAUUUGUUUUACCAAGGGAAGAUAAUGGUAGGGAAGAAGGGGGUGGCAUCCGGUUCUGGGGCAGGAGGGCCUUCAUUGCAGUGCUCCUGCCCCAGAGGGGAGCUGUUGAUUGUUCGGUUGUUGGGGUGAUCCAAGCAAAAAGCAGGGUUAAAUUCUCAUCGCAUUAACAGGAGAACUUUAAGGAACAAUCUCGAAAAAAAACCAACCCUAUUCAUCGCAGUAGUUAAUUUGCCAGCUACAAAAAAUAGACGCUGAAUGUGUUUUCUUGGCCAAAGGAAGAUGAAGCAUUGUCGCUUCAGUGGCAGUUGUAUUAAUGGUCACUGUUAACAACUGCUGAAAAAAGAAACAAGAUAGUUUGCACAGGGCUAUUUGGGUACCUGUUUAGAAACAGCUAUUCUUCUAUUCCAGCAGAAUAGAAAGCAUCACCCUCUCCACAGUUAAGUAGUUCAUUCUUGAAAAAUUCCCUUUCUAUUGCAAGUAGCAUCAGCGCAGAUUUUGGUUGGCAGCCAUAUAUGCUAAACACGCCUAGGUAGGAGUCUGAGGGAUCAGAUACAUAGAGAAAAUUACCUCAGGCUAAGACAAGCAAUUUAUUUUGUGCUUGCUGUGAGCCAGAAGCACACGCUGAUCUGCAGCACCUCCCCAUUUCUCCACAGUGCCAUUUUCAUCCAGCAAGCCUAAGCAGUGCAGCUAGUCUUUUGGAAAAUUGUCUGUUGUGCUAAUGUUCUGUUAAUGACUUGUGCAGCUUGCUUAUUUCCCAUCAUCAUCGUUUGUGAAACGACUCUUGUCGGAGCUCCCUGCAGCACCAGGGAAGCUCAGCGGCGGCACUGCGGGCUGUGGGGAAGGCCUGGGCCACGCAGCCAAGUUGUGGCAGCACGUGGGCACAUCUGUCACACAGUGACGCCCAUCUGAAUGAUCUGGAGAGCCUUCAGCUAAAGCACGGGGAUUGAGAGAGCUGAGCGCAGGGCAGAGCGCAUACAAAGCAUUGCUGACUCGGGGCAGGAGGCACCCAUGGGGCAGGGAUGCUGCGACAGGCAGGUGCGCCUCGAGCCCUCUGUGAGAACAGCUGGCCCUAGCUGGGUUGGGACAUGGGCAAUUCUAAGAAAAGGAUGUUGAGCUGAGGUGUUUGCAGUUCCAUAUCCGUGCAUUUUGUGUGGAGGAGAGCUGGCUUAUUGGCGCUGCGCUGCACUUUAACAAUAACCUUCAAUAGCGCGACGUGAGGGAGACAUUCGUGUACGGCCACAGGCACGUGUGUGUGCAGCCAGUAACCUGCUAGGGAAGUAAGCACAGCACAGAACCUUCUCUGAAGUGUUGUGUUCCCAUCAUUGGGUCUGACUGCAGGCGAGAGUCGCAGUGACCUCGUGUACCUCCUAGAGAACGCCUGCUCCUGGACCCAGAGGUGCAACUGACCUACAUGGAGAGCUUGUUUCCCCCAAGAGUCACAUUUGGAAGGGCAAUCCUGUUCAGAGAAAUACUGAGGAAAUAUAAAAGAAGCCUUUUCUAUGGAAGUUUUUAAAGCUGUGGAUGUCAUCAGGAAAUAAGAUACUGACGGGACUGCAUGGGUAAAAUACAGAAAGGUCAAGCUCGAAUGGUGCGAGUCACUUGAAAAAGCACACCAGAAUCUGAAAAUGGGAGUUUGUUGUUAAAAGCAAAGACAGAAGAAAGGAAUUACAGAAUAUGUAACAAAGGAACAAAAGCUUCAAAACGUGUUCUCAGGGAUUUGUAAUAUUUACAGUUUGGGGUUUGUUUUUUUUCCAUACAAGUAAUGCGUUGCUUUUUAAACUGUAUCUUUUUGUCUGCUCAUACGUUCCAAAAUAAAGUCAGUGUUUAAUUUUAGGGAAAGCUCCAGGGAAGCGGGGAAAGCUGUGAUGAGAAGGCGAUUUGCUGUGUUUCAGAAGACAACCUCAGCAUGUUUUAUCUGUACUCUUUUGAAAAAUACUAGCCUUAUCUCCAUGGAAGAAAUGCAAAGAGCAUCCUCUUCAUAAUUCUUGCACUUCACAAACAGCAUAUGACAUCUGACGUUUAAAAAUUGCAAUUUAUUGUGGGCCUAUUCGUAAAGCUUGUGUCUGAUGCAGUGUUUUUCACUAAAAUAUUGAAGUAAUUUUGUGGGAGAGAGGAAAAUCCUUUCCAUUUAUUUACUGAUCUUUAGUACAGAGGGAUAUCCAGCACAGUACAGUUACUGUACAUGGAUGGCCCAUCAAAUCAACCUUCGAAUUGCAACCCUGCUUGUCAUCUGUUUGAAAAUCUCUUGCAAAUUACCAUUAACAAGUCAUAUUAGAAACAUCAGGAAUAAUAAGUGCUUUCAAACAGUGGGCUGUCAAAUUACAUAGUCUGUUUGUUCUUUAGGAAGGAAAAAUUCAUAAAAGCAUAUAAAAGCCUUGAAAACCUGAAAGGCAAGACAUGUUUGUUCAGUAGUAAUAUUCUUACACGAGAAACUCAACUUAUUUUCUUAGCAUGUUUGUUUUCAUAAGAAAAUGUUUGUUUUCAUGAGAAAAUAGGUUAAUCUUGAGAAAAUAUGGGCUGUUCCUUUGUGCUCAUGACUGUAGUUUUCAUCUCCUCCUACACAGGGUCUGGUCCUGUUCAGUACGAAGGCAGUAGUAAAGCUUUUAUUUCAUUCACUGGAGAAGAAUCAUGCGCCUUAUUAUUAUCCUCAUUCUAUGUAAUUACCAGAUAAAAUUAUUUGAAUAAAUUGGCUUUCAUGACAACCAACCAAAUCAUUUCUAUCCUGGCUUAAAAGCCAAUUUCAUCUCCUUGUAGCUCUUCUGCACUGGAAGGCAGGACGAGUUCGUGGAGCAGGCAGAGCAGCGUGCCCCAGCCUGGCCUCACCUGCGCCCUGCGGAGCUCUGGGGCAGCUGCACAAAGAUGGCACGUCCCCCUGCUAACCUGCAUGUUCUGCUUUCCAGCACAUCCAAGGUACCGUGGUUGAUGAAGGACGAACCACGGAAAUUCAUUCAUUUCCAGCUGUACGGCUGUCGUGCAUUCAUAUCCUCCUGUAUAUUUUAAAUGCAAGGGAGAAUUUAAACCUAAUUGGUUUUAGCUUGUAGAGCGUCAAAGAUUUACAGAGCAUAGCUAAUUUUGGGAGACCUGUUCCAACUAUUUUUUGCAUUUAGUGUAUUUGCUGGCUAAAGCAUGAAGGGAGACAAAUAUUACAGAGACAUUACUGCAUCUUCUAAUUAAAGAGCAGGCAGAAUUCAAUCUCGGCACAUUCCAAAUCUCUGUACCAAAUGAAAGGAUCUGAAAAACUUGUUACUCAUGGGGGUACGUGCUUCCUGCAUUUCAUACUAGAAUGACUCUGGCAAUAGGAAGCAGAGACGGGAGGGUCCAAAUCAAAUUAAGAAAAAUAAUAAAAUAUUAAUGGGAAUUUUAAAAAAGGAAAUAGCUCUAGAAGAAGAAUGGGGGGAUUUAAAAGCCUAGGCUAGUUUUUGGAUUAAAUUCCUGGUUUGUUUUCUUUUUUGCCUGCUCCAAGAAGCAAGACAGCUUUGCUAGUGGAUGUUGUACAAAUGCUAAAAUGUGGAACGCAUAAGAAAUAUUUUCAAUAAGGAGAAAUAUGGAUGCCAGAACUGCACAGAACUUCCAGAGUGCAAGAGAAAAAUCGCCGUCGUCUCUCCUUGCAGGCUGGCUUUCUGGCAAUGCGAUUCCUUUGCUUCCUACACAGUUCUAGAUCAAACUCCAGUUAAUGAGUCACCGAGGAUCCCCGUGGUCGGGAAAGACCCCAGCACGUAAGUAGUUGUUACUACAGUAAAAGAUGCCAGACAAUCUUUCCCUGAAAUGGUAGCCAGUAGAUACUCACUCAUUUCAGCUUUUAUUUACGUGCUUGUUAUGAAAAGGACAGUGGUGCUGGCUUUAGGACGUUAGCAACACUUAAUAAUAACACUUAUGUAGGUGUGCACACGUGUACAUGGAAUGAGCAAAUCAUACAUAGCUCCACCUUUAUCUUCAGGCAAGAAGAAAAGAGGUGUUUUUUUCCUGUUGAUCCCUGUUGCUACUUCAGCAAUUGUUUCCUGCGGCUGUACUACGUCUGUAGUUUUCAAUUAUGGGUGAUUAAGUAUGAAUCUAUACUUUAUUAUUAGCUACAUCUAUAUCUACUCCAAUUAUAUGUGUAGCGUGCGUACACAGACACCAGCUGCUAGAAUAAAAUAGACCUUUAUUGAUUUUUUUCCUGGAGUUAUACGCUUGCAAGAUCAAAUUUUCUAUUUCUGAGCUAUAUUUACAUGUAAAUGUUAAUAAAACCAUAUAUCCACUCGCCUGAUAGAGA